rnacentral:tRNA from 1 species
CGGGGCGUGGCGCAGUCUGGUAGCGCAUCUGCUUUGGGAGCAGAGAGUCGGAGGUUCAAAUCCUCUCGCCCCGACCA